AUUGAACGCUGGCGGCAUGCUUUACACAUGCAAGUCGGACGGCAGCACAGAGAAGCUUGCUUCUUGGGUGGCGAGUGGCGAACGGGUGAGUAAUAUAUCGGAACGUACCGAGUAAUGGGGGAUAACUAAUCGAAAGAUUAGCUAAUACCGCAUAUUCUCUGAGGAGGAAAGCAGGGGACCUUCGGGCCUUGCGUUAUUCGAGCGGCCGAUAUCUGAUUAGCUAGUUGGUGGGGUAAAGGCCUACCAAGGCGACGAUCAGUAGCGGGUCUGAGAGGAUGAUCCGCCACACUGGGACUGAGACACGGCCCAGACGCCUACGGGAGGCAGCAGUGGGGAAUUUUGGACAAUGGGCGCAAGCCUGAUCCAGCCAUGCCGCGUGUCUGAAGAAGGCCUUCGGGUUGUAAAGGACUUUUGUCAGGGAAGAAAAGGCUGUUGCUAAUAUCGACAGCUGAUGACGGUACCUGAAGAAUAAGCACCGGCUAACUACGUG
rnacentral:rRNA from 1 species